AUCGCCCUGCCCCUCUAAACAGCUACAGUGAGUCUGUCUAACCCCCACAGAUCACCCUGCCCCUCCACAAACAGCUACAGUGAGUCUGUCAACCCCCACAGAUCACCCUGCCCUCUAAACAGCUACAUGUGUCGCUACCCCCCAGAUCACCUGCCCCUCCACAAACAGCUACAGUAGAGUCUCUGUCUAACAACCCCACAGAUCACCCUGCCCCUCUAAACAGCUACAGUGAGUCUCUGUCUAACCCUAACCCCCACAGAUCGCCCUGCCACUCCACAAACAUCUACAGUGAGUCUCUGUCUAACCCCCACAGAUCGCCCUGCCCCUCUAAACAGCUACAGGGAGUCUGUCUAACCCCCACAGAUCACCCUGCCCCUCCACAAACAGCUACAGUGAGUCUGUCUAACCCCCAACACAGAUCACCCUGCCCCUCUAAACAGCUACAGUGUGUCUGUCUAACCCCAGAUCACUCUAGCCCUGCCCCUCCACAACAGCUACAGUGAGUCUCUCUUCUAACCCCCAAGAUCACCCUGCCCUCCUAAAAAGCUACAGUGAGUCUGUCUAACCCCCACAGAUCACCUGCCCCUCUAAGCAGCUACAGUGAGUCGUCUAAACCCCCACAGAUCACCCUGCCCCCACAACAGCUACAGUGAGUCGUCUACCCCCACGAUCACCCUGCCCCUCUAAGCAGCAGAGUCCAGUUACCCCCCCUUUCAGUUAUCCCACCUGGGUCAUGUUCAUUAGGGUCGCAACACCAAAGAAAACAUCCUGAAACAGGGAUGGACGACCUGCAGUUGUCCAAUAAGAAACAAGUUUUUUUUUUUGUUUUACAUUUCAUAAUGUUACAAAAAUGUUCUGUUGCAGAUUACUGUACUGUCAGCAAGACGUACUCUCAGAUUACGGUACGUUCAACAAGACACGCUCUCAGAUUACUGUACUGUCAGCAAGACACACUCUCAGAUUACUGUACUGUCAGCAAGAUGUACUCUCAGAUUACUGUACUGUCAACAAGACACGCUCUCAGAUUACUGUCAGCAAGACAUACUCUCAGAUUACGUACUGUCAACAGAACGCUCUCGAUAUACUGUACUGUCAACAAGACACGCUCUCAGAUUACUGAACUGUCAGCAACACGCUCUCAGAUUACUGUACUGUCAACAAGACACGCUCUCAGAUUACUGUACUGUCAGCAAGACACGCUCUCAGAUUACUCUGUACUGUCAGCAAGACACACUCUCUCAGAUUACUGUACUGUCAACACGCUCUCAGAUUACUAUACGGUACUGAACUGUCAACAAGACACGCCUCAGAUUACUGUACUGUCACGACGCAGAGCAGCGUCUCUCAGAUUACUGUACUGUCAGCAAGACAUUCUCAGAUUACUGUACUGUCAACAAGACACGCUCUCAGAUUACGGUACUGUCACAGACCCGCUCUCAGAUUACUGUACUGUCAGCA
rnacentral:lncRNA from 1 species